UAUAUAUAUACAAAAUGUAUAGUUCGUAUAAUCUAAGUUGUUCAACUGCUUUGGCUCGAGUUUAGCUGUACUGUGGCGAACGUGGAGAGCAGUAAACUGUUGGAAAUGUCAAGUACGAUGCUACACACCACACCUUGUUGAUAAACACAGACACAGAUGGAUCUGAAGAUCAGCAUCUACAGAAUGCUGACAACAAUGACAGUGGAAAUGGAAAAGAAAAAGCGGUUCCUUUAAAGGUGAAGAAAGGGACAGUGCUGCGAAUCAUAAAGUUCUACAUGCCCGACUGACCAUUGAUCACCACUGGCUUUGUAUUCCUCACCAUAUCUGCAACAGGUGAGAUUUUUAUCCCGUUCUACACUGGACAGGUCGUCGAUGGUAUCGUGAUAGACAAAUCUCAGGCAGAGUUUACCCAUGCAAUUGUCACCAUUGCUCUCAUUUCUGCUGGAAGGUAUGUUAGUAUUCCUAAUGUUCAAUUUCUUUUCUCUUCAUAGUAUAGGCCUCAGGUAAUUGAAGAAAAUGUCAAGGUCUUGUCACAGCCCCUGUGUCAUUGACAUUGUUGUUUUCAUCAUCGUCAUUGUGCCACUUAUUAGCUCGACAAUUAGAAGAAAACAGAAGGCUAUACUA